rnacentral:rRNA from 1 species
AGAGUUUGAUCAUGGCUCAGAACGAACGUUAGCGGCGCGCCUAACACAUGCAAGUCGAACGCGACAGGGGCAACUCUGUUGAGUGGCGCACGGGUGAGUAACACGUAGGUAAUCUCCCCUCGAGUGGUGGAUAACCUUCCGAAAGGAGGGCUAAUACAGCAUAAGACCACGGUCUCGAAAGAGGCUGAGGUCAAAGCGGAGGAUCGCAAGACUUCGCGCUUGAGGAUGAGCCUGCGGCCCAUCAGGUAGUUGGCGGGGUAAUGGCCCACCAAGCCUAAGACGGGUAGCUGGUCUGAGAGGAUGAUCAGCCACACUGGAACUGAGACACGGUCCAGACUCCUACGGGAGGCAGCAGUGGGGAAUCUUGCGCAAUGGACGAAAGUCUGACGCAGCGACGCCGCGUGGGUGAUGAAGGCCUUCGGGUUGUAAAGCCCUGUGGGGAGGGACGAAUAAGUUGCGGUUAAUACCCGCAGCGAUGACGGUACCUCCUUAGCAAGCACCGGCUAACUCUGUGCCAGCAGCCGCGGUAAGACAGAGGGUGCAAACGUUGUUCGGAAUUACUGGGCGUAAAGCGCGUGUAGGCGGCUAUGCAAGUCGGAUGUGAAAGCCCUCGGCUCAACCGGGGAAGUGCACCCGAAACUGCAAAGCUAGAGUCUCGGAGAGGAUCGUGGAAUUCUCGGUGUAGAGGUGAAAUUCGUAGAUAUCGAGAGGAACACCGGUGGCGAAGGCGGCGAUCUGGACGAUGACUGACGCUGAGACGCGAAAGCGUGGGGAGCAAACAGGAUUAGAUACCCCUGUAGUCC